UACGUAGGGUGCAAGCGUUGUCCGGAAUUAUUGGGCGUAAAGAGCUCGUAGGCGGUUUGUUGCGUCGGCUGUGAAAUCCCGAGGCUCAACCUCGGGUCUGCAGUCGAUACGAGCAAACUAGAGUGUUGCAGGGGGAGACUGGAAUUCCUGGUGUAGCGGUGAAAUGCGCAGAUAUCAGGAGGAACACCGGUGGCGAAGGCGCCUACUCGUCGGCCGAUACUGACGCUGAGGCGCGAAAGCUAGGGGAGCAAACGGG
rnacentral:rRNA from 1 species